UACGGAAGGCAGCAGUGGGGAAUAUUGCACAAUGGGCGCAAGCCUGAUGCAGCCAUGCCGCGUGUAUGAAGAAGGCCUUCGGGUUGUAAAGUACUUUCAGCGGGGAGGAAGGCGAUGCGGUUAAUAACCGCGUCGAUUGACGUUACCCGCAGAAGAAGCACCGGCUAACUCCGUGCCAGCAGCCGCGGUAAUACGGAGGGUGCAAGCGUUAAUCGGAAUUACUGGGCGUAAAGCGCACGCAGGCGGUCUGUUAAGUCAGAUGUGAAAUCCCCGGGCUUAACCUGGGAACUGCAUUUUGAAACUGGCAGGCUUGAGUCUUGUAGAGGGGGUAGAAUUCCAGGUGUAGCGGUGAAAUGCGUAGAGAUCUGGAGGAAUACCGGUGGCGAAGGCGGCCCCUGGGACAAGGACUGACGCUCAGGUGCGAAAGCGUGGGGAGCGAAACAGGGAUUAGGA
rnacentral:rRNA from 1 species